rnacentral:rRNA from 1 species
GUGGGGAAUCUUGCACAAUGGGCGAAAGCCUGAUGCAGCGACGCCGCGUGAAGGAUGAAGGCCUUCGGGUUGUAAACUUCUUUUGCAGGGGACAAAAAAAAUGAUGGUACUCUGCGAAUAAGCGCCGGCCAACUACGUGCCAGCAGCCGCGGUAAUAUGUAGGGCGCAAGCGUUGUUCGGAAUUACUAGGUGUAAAGCGUCUGUAGGUGUUUCGAUAAGUUGAAUGUGAAAGCCCUCCGCUUAACGGAGGAAUUGCAUUCAAUACUGUCGGAAUUGAGUACGGGAGAGGAAACUGGAAUUCCUGGUGUAGCGGUGAAAUGCGUAGAUAUCAGGAGGAACACCAAUGGCGAAAGCAGGUUUCUGGCCCGUGUCUGACACUGAGAGACGAAAGCGUGGGGAGCAAACAGGAUUAGAAACCCCAGUAGUCC